UACGAAGGGGGGCUAGCGUUGCUCGGAAUCAUUGGGCGUAAAGAGCUCGUAGGCGGUCUGUCGCGUCGGUUGUGAAAACUCGGGGCUCAACCCCGAGCCUGCAAUCGAUACGGGGCAGACUAGAGUGCUGUAGGGGAGACUGGAAUUCCUGGUGUAGCGGUGAAAUGCGCAGAUAUCAGGAGGAACACCGGUGGCGAAGGCGGCAUCCUGGACCGACAUUGACGCUGAACGGCGAAAGCUAGGGGAGCAAACGGG
rnacentral:rRNA from 1 species